rnacentral:tRNA from 1 species
GCCUCGUUAGCGCAUUAUGCAGCGCGUCAGUCUCAUAAUCAAAUAAAUCUGAAGGUCAUGAGUUCGAUCCUCACACGGGGCA